UACAGAGGGGGCAAGCGUUGUUCGGAAUUACUGGGCGUAAAGGGCGCGUAGGCGGCCUGCUAAGUCGAACGUGAAAUCCCCGGGCUCAACCCGGGAACUGCGUCCGAUACUGACAGGCUUGAAUCCGGGAGAGGGAUGCGGAAUUCCAGGUGUAGCGGUGAAAUGCGUAGAUAUCUGGAGGAACACCGGUGGCGAAGGCGGCAUCCUGGACCGGCAUUGACGCUGAGGCGCGAAAGCCAGGGGAGCAAAGCGGG
rnacentral:rRNA from 1 species